rnacentral:lncRNA from 1 species
GGCAAGCAGCUUAGAUCCAGGCAAGGGAAGACAGAACCGUCUUUAACCAGAGAAGCAGAAACAGUUGUAGCACAGCUCAUAGAGAAAGUGUUGGAGCAUGGAGUAAAUUCAACUGCCUGGGUAGCGCGCCAGCUGGAGGAAGGCAGCAAUUGGAUAACUGGAUUUGUGUCAGGAAAAUGAGAGAGAGGAGGAAGGGAGUGAGAGAGACAGACAGAGGGAGGGAGAGAAAGAGAGAUUGAGCUUUCUUCUUCCUCCCUUCUAUUUGGCCUUGGAAUACCCUGCAGACAAAGAUGGACUUCCUUUAGCCGUGUCCUCUGGCCCAGGCUACCAUCACCCCCCAAAGCCCUGAGCUUGAAACUGGGGUCAAGAAACAGCAAUUGUCGCCACAAAUGAAGAAUGUUCACGUUUGUUUUACAACUUCUUAAUGCACCGCAUUCAGUCUUCCUGUAAACUUGACUGCUUAGUCCUUAAAGUAUAUUGGUGGAGCAAUGUCUGCAUGCCUUCGUCAACACAUCUAUUGGCCUGUUUGUCCCAGCAUCCCAGUUGGAAUGGGAACCCUUCUAAGAAAAGCCUUUAUCCUUUACUCACCUACAAACUCACUGGGCACCCCCGGAAUUGUGGUCCUGGGCGUAUAGCAGGUGUCUAGUCACUCUUUUCUGGUUGUGCCAGUAAUUGGGGCCUGAUUACAAUUCUGUUUCAUCCAGUGCACCUCAAUGGAGAGAAACCAGCAAGAAACUCAUGCUUUCUGCCCCAUCUCCUUCCUUUCUUCUGUGUGUAAAGUGGAGAAAAGGCUGGAGAGUGUGGUAAGAUAGGAAGAAACCAAGCAAAGCACACAUAAACAAACAAAUGAAUAAAUAAAAGGGAAAAAUAGGGGAGAUUUUGAGUUGUCAAGAAAAGAAGAACUCUGAACUUUUGGCACAGACUCAAACCUGGAAACCCAGUGAGGUUUGCCCAUCACUAAUGAUCACAUAAUAAUAUGUUCCCAGGGGAGGGGCUGAGAGAGGCUAUUAAAAUACCGCAGCUCUGGUGCUCUAUGGGAGACAAGUUUUCUGAAACGUGGUCCCUGUCAGAUUUCCCUUGAGAGUCAAAGGGAAAAAUGACUGCAGUUUGGCUUCUAAAAGGUAAAAUGUUGGGAAAACUCACUGGGGAGGUUUCUUUCCCCAGCACAGGGUUUGGAAAUGCCUGCGUUUGCGUUGUAUAUUUUAAAUGUGGUGAUGGGCCAGCUUGUUAAGUGUGCUGGCUUGCUUACUGGGUGACUGGCAGGCAGCCGUAAGUGAGCGGAAACAAAACCAUUUGUGGGGUAUGAGGUGGCCAAGGUAGCCAGAACCAGCCUUUUGUGAUGUCUUCAAUAAAAACAGUUAUUUCAACGGGUGUUGGCAACUCGGCCUUUCCUUCUAGAAAGAUAGGAUUCUUGGGUGGAGUACACAUGGGUCUACGGGCAUCUUGACUGAUCACUGUGGCCUAUGAAAAGCCCUAAUUUCACCAUAUCUUAUGGGUUACACAUGGUAGGGCUCAGUAAAGGGUUUUGUGUUUUGUUUUUUGUGUUUUUUGAGACAGAGUGUCAGUCUUGUUGCCCAG